CGGCAUGAUCGUGCAGGACCUGGUGCAGAUCGCUGCGAUCGAUCGCGUGCAGCGGUUCCAGGCCGGCUGUGGUGG
rnacentral:tRNA from 1 species